rnacentral:rRNA from 1 species
CUUUAUUGGAGAGUUUGAUCCUGGCUCAGGAUGAACGCUGGCGGCGUGCCUAAUACAUGCAAGUCGAGCGAAUGGAUUAA